rnacentral:rRNA from 1 species
UACGUAGGCAGCGAGCGUUGUUCGGAGUUACUGGGCGCAAAGGGUGUAUAGGCGGUUGUUUAAGUUUGGUGUGAAAUCUCCCGGCUCAACUGGGAGGGUGCGCCGAAUACUGAAUGACUUGGAGUGCGGGAGAGGAAAGUGGAAUUCCUGGUGUAGCGGUGAAAUGCGCAGAUAUCAGGAGGAACACCGGUGGCGAAGGCGGAUCUCUGGGCCUUACCUGACGCUGAGGCGCGUAAGCUAGGGGAGCGAACAGG